UACAGAGGGUGCGAGCGUUAAUCGGAAUUACUGGGCGUAAAGAGCGCGCAGGCGGUUGGAUAAGUCGAAUGUGAAAGCCCCCGGCUCAACUGGGGAGGGUCAUUCGAUACUGUCCGACUCGAAGGCAGGAGAGGGAAGCGGAAUUCCCGGUGUAGUGGUGAAAUGCGUAGAUAUCUGGAGGAACACCGGUGGCGAAGGCGGCAUCCUGGACCGGCAUUGACGCUGAGGCGCGAAAGCUAGGGGAGCAAACGGG
rnacentral:rRNA from 1 species